AAUACUAUUAAGACAAUUUAAGUUAGGUGAACAGGUAGAGCACUAGUCACUAGAGAAAGUGGGAAAUGUUGAGCGUUUGUUUACUAGUUGACUUAGUCAGAAAAUCCCCGAUCCUUAGUAGGAAAAAGCCAUGAUGUUGCCCAAAGCAAGCAUCCCCCUGAGCCAGAAAGCUUUUAUUCAGGUUUGGGUUCUCUGAGAUGUUUAAGGGUCUAAAGACUCAAAGCGGGGUGCAGUUUUGACGCACAUGUUAAGGGGUUACACACUAGCCUGUGUUUGCGCCUGCACUAGCUUGUCUUGUCACUUCUUCUCUAUGCAGCCAAUCAGCAACAAGACUUCACAGCCAAUCAGUGACGACAACAGGACUUCACAGCCAACCAGCAAGGGCAUUCAGAUUUCACAGCCAAUCGGAAAUAGAAACAGUAGUCCCACAGAACAGGCUAUAGAGACAGAGGAGAACAAACACACACUCACCAAAACACACACACACACAAUGACAGAACCAUAGAGGGAGAGGAGAGCAAACCGGUCUCAUAAGCACACACACACUAUAGAAUAGAAACAGCCGUUUUCAACCUUUCAGCAGCAAUGCUCAGUGUCCUCAGGCCUUACAGUAAAACACACUAACACGCACAUACUGUUACGACUGGUGGGUGUUGUGCAGGACUCAAUAGCACGACUCAGCACAGGGGUAUAUUUAAAGGGUGAAACGUUUUACUAGCCGGGUUCAGUACACAGGUAGGCAGUCCAACAAUUGCAAACAAAACCAAACAGGGAAUAGGCAGGAGAAUAGUUGUAGGGCAGGCAGAGGUCAGAAGCACGAGUAAUCACUUUAACAAGGAGAAAAGCGCUAAACGCUAGGAACACGAGGAACAAUGGCAAAAAACAAGGAACAUACCAUAUAACAAUAAUUUACGAAGACGCAACGAGAAACCAGAAAACAAGGACUAUAUAUACACACAGGCAACAGAUAACGAGGGACAGGUGAGAACAAUCAAGGCGGGGCAGACAAAGACACAGGUGGACUAAACAAGGGGAAUUAACAGGACACAGGUGAAACCAAUGAUACACACAACCCGGGAGAUUGGGAACAGGUGAGGGGUGGAGACACGGACAACAACAAGAGGGCACAUGGCAUAGACAAACAAACAUAGGGAAAGCACAUGGCGGGAACAAGGAAGCACGAGGACUAGACAUGGGAACAAACAUGUGACCACACAAGGGAGACAAACACAGAAAUUAAACAUGGACAGAACACAGACCUUACACAUACUGUUUGCUGAUCGAACUCUCAGACAGAACUCCUGUUUGCUGAUCGAACUCUCGGAUAGAACUCAUGUUUGCUGAUCGAACUCUCGAACAGAACUUGCUCCUGUUCCUCCUCAG
ensembl:lncRNA